UACGUAGGGACCAAGCGUUGUUCGGAAUUACUGGGCGUAAAGGGCUCGUAGGCGGCCAACUAAGUCAGACGUGAAAUCCCUCAGCUUAACUGGGGAACUGCGUCUGAUACUGGAUGGCUUGGAUUCGGGAGAGGAAUGCGGAAUUCCAGGUGUAGCGGUGAAAUGCGUAGAUAUCUGGAGGAACACCGGUGGCGAAGGCGGCAUUCUGGACCGACAUUGACGCUGAGGAGCGAAAGCCAGGGGAGCAAACGGG
rnacentral:rRNA from 1 species